CCAAUAGCGUAUAUUCAAGUUGUUGCAGUUAAAAAGCUCGUAGUUGAACUUCGGGGUUCACCUAUUGGUCAGGAUUAAUUGGCUGUACUGGUGAGAUGAGUCUCUACCUUCUGAGGAACUUUCAUGCCAUUUAUUGGGUGUGGUUGGAAAUCAGGUCUGUUACUUUGAAAAUAUUAGAGUGUUUAAAGCAGGCUAACGUCUGAAUACAUUAGCAUGGAAUAAUGAAUGAGGACGGAUUGAUUCUAUUUCGUUGGUUUCUAGGUUCACCGUAAUGAUUAAUAGGGAUAGUUGGGGGCAUUAGUAUUCAAUUGUCAGAGGUGAAAUUCUUGGAUUUAUUGAAGACUAACUACUGCGAAAGCAUUUGCCAAGGAUGUUUUCAUUAAUCAAGAACGAAAGUUAGGGGAUCGAAGACGAUCAGAUACCGUCGUAGUCUUAACCAUAAACUAUGCCGACUAGGGAUCGGACGCAGUUAAUUUUAUAAUGACGUGUUCGGCACCUUACG
rnacentral:rRNA from 1 species